ACCCUGGUGUGCUCCCCUAACCCUAAUAUAGGGCUAAAAUUCCAUAGAAAAGAGGGAGAUUUUGAAAAAGCCUUCCUUGAGCAGCUUUUUCUGCCCAGCUCAUCAUUUCUGUCGCUUCUAGACACAUCCCAGCCAUCAAAAUCACUCCUGGACACCUCGUUUUUCUAACCCUAACCCAACCCAGGUGCACCCCCAUCUCCCUCACAGCUGGCAA